rnacentral:tRNA from 2 species
GGCCAGGUAGCUCAGUCGGUAGAGCAGGGGACUGAAAAUCCCUGUGUCGGCGGUUCAAUUCCGUCCCUGGCCACCA